GCCCACACCUUCAACCAUACCCCGCAUCCAAUAACCCCGAAACAAAACAUUUUAACUUUUUAGUAGAGGCGAUCGAAACUCAUCCAGGCGCUUUAGAGAAAGUACCGUGAGGGAAAGAUGAAAUAAAAAUGAAAUAAAUCCAAAGCCUAUAACAACAGAGACACCAACUCGUACCUUUUGCAUCAUGGCCUAGCCAGUUAAAUCAAGGGAAACGAACAAUUUUAGUUUGACUCCCCGAAACUAAGCGAGCUACUUCAAAACAGCUUUAAGAGCCAACCCGUCUCUGUGGCAAUAGAGUGGGAAGAUUUUCUAGUAGAAGUGACAAGCCCAACGAGCUUAGAAAUAGCUGGUUAUUCAGGAAAAGAAUUUCAGUUCUGCCUUAAACUUCCCAUGACACCAAACAGAGAUUUAAGAGUUAUUCAACUAAGGUACAGCUUACUUGAAACAGGAUUCAGCCUAAACAACAGGGUAAAAAUUUUAACUAUUAUAUGCAGUGGGCCUAAAAGCAGCCACCUUAAAAAGCGUCAAAGCUUAACAUAAUACACCUCCCCCCAUUCCACUAACAACUGUGAACCCUCCACCCCUACUGAAUGAUGCUAUAAUGUAUAGCAAACACCAUGCUAGGACUAGUAACAAGAAUACAAAAUUCUCCAAAAUGUAAGCAUAAACCAGAACGGACUACCCGCUGGUAGUUAACGAAAAUGAGCCAAUUGCAGCAACACACCCAGAAAACCCUGUAACCACCCCCGUCAACCUAACACUAGAACAUUCCCGGAAAGAUUAACAGAGGGAGAAGGAAUUCGGCAAAUCUCAACCCCGCCUGUUUACCAAAAACAUCGCCUCUUGCCCACCCAUAAGAGGUCUGACCUGCCCAGUGACAAAGUUCAACGGCCGCGGUACCCUAACCGUGCAAAGGUAGCAUAAUCACUUGUUCUCUAAAUAAGGACUAGUAUCAACGGCACCACGAGGGUUGCACUGUCUCCCCCCUCCAAUCAGUGAAACUGAUCUCCCCGUGAAGAAGCGGGGAUACAACUAUAAGACGAGAAGACCCCAUGGAGCUUUAAACUGAACAGCAACUCAACUAUAUCUUUCCCCCAACCACAGAGAUAUGCCCGUCAGUUUUAGGUUGGGGCGACCAUGGAGUAAAAACCAACCUCCACGACGAAAAGAACACAACCUUAUCCCAGAGCCACUUCUCCAAGAAUUAGCACACUAACGAACAAUGACCCGAUCAUCGAUCAACGAACCAAGUUACCCUGGGGAUAACAGCGCAAUCUACUUCAAGAGCCCCUAUCGACAAGUAGGCUUACGACCUCGAUGUUGGAUCAGGGUACCC
rnacentral:rRNA from 1 species